rnacentral:rRNA from 1 species
UACAGAGGUCUCAAGCGUUGUUCGGAUUCAUUGGGCGUAAAGGGUGCGUAGGCGGCGCGGUAAGUCGGGUGUGAAAUCUCGGGGCUUAACUCCGAAACUGCAUUCGAUACUGCCGUGCUUGAGGACUGGAGAGGAGACUGGAAUUUACGGUGUAGCGGUGAAAUGCGUUGAUAUCCGAAGGAACGCCGGUGGCGAAAGCGACGGGCUGGAUCUCUUCUGACGCUGAGGCGCGAAAGCUAGGGUAGCGAACGGG